rnacentral:rRNA from 1 species
AGAGUUUGAUCCUGGCUCAGGACGAACGCUGGCGGCGUGCCUAAUACAUGCAAGUAGAACGCUGAAGAGAGGAGCUUGCUCUUCUUGGAUGAGUUGCGAACGGGUGAGUAACGCGUAGGUAACCUGCCUUGUAGCGGGGGAUAACUAUUGGAAACGAUAGCUAAUACCGCAUAACAAUGGAUGACACAUGUCAUUUAUUUGAAAGGGGCAAUUGCUCCACUACAAGAUGGACCUGCGUUGUAUUAGCUAGUAGGUGAGGUAAUGGCUCACCUAGGCGACGAUACAUAGCCGACCUGAGAGGGUGAUCGGCCACACUGGGACUGAGACACGGCCCAGACUCCUACGGGAGGCAGCAGUAGGGAAUCUUCGGCAAUGGGGGCAACCCUGACCGAGCAACGCCGCGUGAGUGAAGAAGGUUUUCGGAUCGUAAAGCUCUGUUGUAAGUCAAGAACGGGUGUGAGAGUGGAAAGUUCACACUGUGACGGUAGCUUACCAGAAAGGGACGGCUAACUACGUGCCAGCAGCCGCGGUAAUACGUAGGUCCCGAGCGUUGUCCGGAUUUAUUGGGCGUAAAGCGAGCGCAGGCGGUUUGAUAAGUCUGAAGUUAAAGGCUGUGGCUCAACCAUAGUUCGCUUUGGAAACUGUCAAACUUGAGUGCAGAAGGGGAGAGUGGAAUUCCAUGUGUAGCGGUGAAAUGCGUAGAUAUAUGGAGGAACACCGGUGGCGAAAGCGGCUCUCUGGUCUGUAACUGACGCUGAGGCUCGAAAGCGUGGGGAGCGAACAGGAUUAGAUACCCUGGUAGUCCACGCCGUAAACGAUGAGUGCUAGGUGUUGGAUCCUUUCCGGGAUUCAGUGCCGCAGCUAACGCAUUAAGCACUCCGCCUGGGGAGUACGACCGCAAGGUUGAAACUCAAAGGAAUUGACGGGGGCCCGCACAAGCGGUGGAGCAUGUGGUUUAAUUCGAAGCAACGCGAAGAACCUUACCAGGUCUUGACAUCCCGAUGCUAUUUCUAGAGAUAGAAAGUUACUUCGGUACAUCGGUGACAGGUGGUGCAUGGUUGUCGUCAGCUCGUGUCGUGAGAUGUUGGGUUAAGUCCCGCAACGAGCGCAACCCCUAUUGUUAGUUGCCAUCAUUCAGUUGGGCACUCUAGCGAGACUGCCGGUAAUGAACCGGAGGAAGGUGGGGAUGACGUCAAAUCAUCAUGCCCCUUAUGACCUGGGCUACACACGUGCUACAAUGGUUGGUACAACGAGUUGCGAGUCGGUGACGGCGAGCUAAUCUCUUAAAGCCAAUCUCAGUUCGGAUUGUAGGCUGCAACUCGCCUACAUGAAGUCGGAAUCGCUAGUAAUCGCGGAUCAGCACGCCGCGGUGAAUACGUUCCCGGGCCUUGUACACACCGCCCGUCACACCACGAGAGUUUGUAACACCCGAAGUCGGUGAGGUAACCUUUUGGAGCCAGCCGCCUAAGGUGGGACAGAUGAUUGGGGUGAAGUCGUAACAAGGUAACC